GACACUUUGGCCGAGUGGUUAAGGCGCAGGCCUGCUAUUCAUUAGUCUUCCGACUAAUAUAGUAUAUAUAGCCUGUGGGUUCGCCCGCCUGGGUUCGAAUCCCAGAGGUGUCG